UCCCCUUACGCUCGCCGCUCCACUUUGGCCUCUUCUUCCUUCCUCUCCCAUCGUCCCGUCUCUCGAGAGCCAUGAUCUUGGGGGCUCCCUCCGCUCUCUUUCUGCGCUCGCCCUCCGCCAAGGCCUCUCCCAGUGGCGCCGCGUACUGGCUGCGGUCUGGCCUGAGAGUUCCGAGGGAACGAGCGAGGAAUGGGUCCGUGGUCGCCAUGGCGGCCGGCGAGACCAACAGCCGUCCCAUGACCGGCGUGGUGUUCGAGCCUUUCGAGGAGCUCAAGCAGGAGCUGGCCUUCGUACCCUCCGUGCCCGAUAAGUCCAUCGCCCGGCAGAAGUACUCCGACGAGUGCGAGGCCGCAAUCAACGAACAGAUCAAUGUUGAAUACAGUGUAUCGUAUGUCUAUCAUGCCUUGUUUGCAUACUUCGAUCGUGACAAUGUUGCUCUAAAAGGCCUUGCCAAGUUCUUUAAGGAAUCAAGUGAUGAAGAACGGGAACAUGCAGAUAAAUUAAUGGAGUACCAGAAUAUGCGUGGAGGCAGAGUGAAGCUCCAGUCAAUUAUGAUGCCCUUGAAUGAGUUUGAUCACCCUGAAAAAGGAGAUGCACUGCAUGCGAUGGAGAUUGCCUUGUCUCUCGAGAAGUUGACAAAUGAAAAGCUUCUUAAUUUGCAUAAAGUAGCAGAACGGUGUAAUGAUAUUCAGAUGGCGGACUUCAUUGAGACCGAGUUUUUGGGAAAGCAGCUGACACGGGAAGGCUAUUUUUCCUGGAACGCCUUUGCACGAUGCAGGUAGAAGAUAUAAAGAAGAUCUCCGAGUAUGUUGCUCGACUAAGAAGGGUGGGGAAAGGACAUGGAGUGUGGCAUUUCGAUCAGGUGCUUUUAGGUGAAGGAGAAGAAAUGGUUGCUUGAGGAAACAUGUUACCUUCUCAUCCUGCAUGCUUCUGUUACAUGAGCGAGUCCUUUACAUGCUUUUGUUGCUCGAGGAAACAUGUUGUAGCUAAGUAGAUCACUCUAGUCCUGCUUAGUUGAUGCGUUUAAUCGAUGGUAUUAGCCAUGAUUCGACACUAA